ACCCGAACGCUAUUUCACUCUGCCGUAUAAAUACAGCAAGAAAACCCAAUUUCAAGCCCGAGAUUUCUUCUUCAAUUUCACUUUUGCAGCUAAAUCAUCAAAAAUCGAAAAUAUACAACACCAUGACUGAUUACGAAGCUGAGAGAUACGAAGGUAACGGCGGAGCUGUUUUCGAAAACAACAGCUACGGUGCCGAUUCCUCUCCUCCGCCACGCGGCGGCGAUGAUCACAGCGAUUCCAAGUCUCAGCAUGGGUCUCGUGACUACGAGAGGGAGUCUUCAAAAGGCAGGGAGAAAGAGAGAAGCAGAGAUAGUGACAGGGACAGGAAAAGAGACCGAGACAAGGAUAGGGAGAAAAGCAGGGGCAGGGAUAGGGAUAGGGAAAGGGACCGAGACAAGGAUAGGGAGAAAAGCAGGGGCAGGGGCAGGGAUAGGGAAAGGGACCGAGACAAGGAUAGUGAUCGUCAUCGUGAUCAACAUAGAGAUCACAGUGAAAGAAGGGAUCGGGGCCGAGAUAGGGAUGAUGAUGAUUACUACCGAAGCCGAGAUUAUGACAGGCGGAGAGAUUAUGAUAGAGACAGUGAAGACAGACAUAGACGCUUGUCACGAUCUCGUUCAAAAGGUAGAUCUGAGCACAGAUCAAGGUCACGCUCACGAUCACGCUCUAAGAGCAAAAGGAUCAGCGGUUUUGAUAUGGCUCCUCCAUCUUCUGCAAUGUUGCCUAAUGCUGCUGCCGCUGUAGCUGCUGCAGCAGCCGCUGCCUUUGCAGGCCAGAUUACUGGGACUACUACUCCCAUUCCUGGAAUGUUUCCCAACAUGUUUCCAUUAGGGACUGGUCAGCAGUUUGGUGCUCUCCCUGUUAUGCCAGUUCAGGCUAUGACUCAACAGGCUACUAGGCAUGCUCGGCGGGUAUAUGUUGGAGGGCUUCCACCUACAGCCAAUGAACAGUCUGUGGCUACCUUUUUUAGCCAGGUUAUGGCUGCAAUUGGAGGGAACACUGCAGGCCCAGGGGAUGCUGUUGUUAAUGUUUAUAUAAACCAUGAAAAGAAGUUUGCAUUUGUGGAGAUGAGAUCUGUUGAGGAGGCCAGUAAUGCAAUGGCUUUGGAUGGGAUUAUUUUUGAGGGAGCACCUGUUAAGGUGAGGAGACCUAGUGACUAUAAUCCAUCUCUGGCUGCAACACUUGGUCCAAGCCAACCCAAUCCCAAUCUUAAUCUAUCUGCAGUAGGCCUUGCUCCGGGUUCGGCUGGUGGACUCGAGGGUCCAGACCGCAUUUUUGUGGGUGGACUUCCGUAUUACUUUACAGAAUCACAGAUCAGGGAGUUGUUGGAGUCUUUUGGAGCUCUCCGUGGUUUUGAUCUUGUAAAAGACAGAGAGACUGGGAACUCAAAAGGCUAUGCAUUUUGUGUUUACCAAGAUCUUUCAGUGACAGACAUAGCCUGUGCUGCUCUGAAUGGAAUUAAAAUGGGUGAUAAAACUCUCACUGUUAGGCGUGCCAACCAGGGCACCAACCAACCAAAACCUGAGCAAGAGAAUGUGCUAUUGCAUGCCCAGCAGCAGAUUGCAUUGCAGAGGCUUAUGUUACAGCCACAGCCUGUGUCCACAAAAGUUGUAUGCCUAACUCAAGUAGUUACUGGAGAUGAGCUUAAGGAUGAUGACGAGUAUGAAGACAUUUUGGAAGACAUGAGAACGGAAGCUGGGAAAUUUGCCUUUUCUAGUCCCACAUUCUGCUAUAAAGAAUCAAGCCUAACAUACACAGACAGAAGACUUCAUAACCCCCAAUUUAUAUUUACUUGAGAUUGGUUUCAGCUUUUUGAUAAAAAGAUAAUUGUUUUCAAAACUUUGGAUUGCAUGUUUUCACAUUUUAUAUGCAGGUCAACUGGUUAAUGUUGUGAUCCCGCGCCCAAGACCAAACGGUGAAAAUGCACCAGGAGUUGGGAAGGUGUUCUUGGAGUAUGCAGACACUGAAGGUUCUUCAAAAGCUCGAGCGGGGAUGAAUGGGAGGAAAUUUGACGGAAAUCAAGUUGUGGCUGUCUUUUAUCCAGAGAACAAGUUCUCCCAGGGAGAAUAUGAUGACUAAUUAGUUCUACAGGCUUCCACCACAGUUUUGCAUUCUGUGAUGCGUUGUUAUCAGGCCAUCAUGAUUAGAAUGCUGUUUGUUCUAUGCUUUUAAUGAUAUAUGUAUAUAUAGCUUAGAAGUCUACUUUAUGGCUUUUGCUGUUUCGUUGAAUGCCUUGUUGGAAUCCAUAAUCCAUAAACAGAUGACAGUCAAAAACUGAACUAAAGCUCAAAUUAACUAUUUUUCUGGUUAUUGGUCGCUUACCUCGUGUCAGAGGAAGGCCAGUAAUGAUUUUGAUCGCUACAUUAGAAUGAGAUCUGCUGUAAGAA